GGUUGUCCUGCCAUGAUUCUUCGCCACAGUGUGACCCUUACUGUCUUUAGGGAGCUCCAGUACAGUGAGAUAGGUGUCCCACAGGAGUGAGGCUUCCUUUGUGCUUACUACAAAACAAACAAGCAGUGAGAGGCAGAUCCAGGCACAAACCUAUCACAGUGCAUUUUGCAGCCUUCCAUACACAGAUGUGCACUUUGCCCAUGUUUGCGUGCAGCAAUUCUGCUGGUCUGGGGAAGGAUGGCUUUUAUUUUGAGUACUCACACUGUAUGACAGGCCACAGGUGCUGUCAGAAGAGAGUACAUGGACACUGUUGCUCAGACAUCUACAAAGAGAAGGCAGGAAAAGGUAUGAAGAGAGCUGGUAUGAAGGCUGCCUAUUUUGGGGGUGAGAAAUGAAGGAUUAAAGAAAAAAUUUCAGCAUUCUUUGGAAGGAAUGCAGAAAUUUUCCUGACUCUUUGUAGCACAGAAUUUUGUCUAAAGAAUCUUGUCCAUGAAAUUGACUAAUGAGUUAGGAUUUGUCUGUGACAUUUUGUUAAGCCUCUUUCAUUUGUAGACGUCUCCAAACACUCUAUGGAACUAACGUAAACAUACCUAGACUCAUUGAUAGAAGUUAGGUACCUAAAACACUUCAGAGGGCUUUUCUAUAAAUUCUCAUCCCCAUGAUGCAAAAUGAAUAAUCAAAUGGCCAAAAAGAAAAUUUAACUCUAAAAACAUAUCGUAAUGCUAGAUUGACGUGGUCUACCCAUGAUUCCAGAUCUGCAUACAGAAUUCAUAGGUGGACUGUAUUUCACCAUAGGUGGAACUGACACUCCAAGUAUAAAAAGUGCAAAUACUGAGAGGUGCAAAAUCUGUACUGAGAGCCAGACCUAAAAGGUAUGCCAAAACAGCAGACAGAGGGCAAGUCUCGGGCC
rnacentral:lncRNA from 1 species